CUUCUUCCGGCUGGGUUCCACUACCUGCAAGGCUGGAACUGACAGCCACUGUGCAAACAAAAAAAGGCAACAAGCAUGCUGGGACCAUUCUGUCUGCUGUUUGGGUCUCACUUGUCCUGACAACUAAAAAUCAUCAGUGGAAAGAAGCUAGAGUCAUCCUAACAAGAGUGAUAGUCUUUCCCCAAGUGAGACCAGGCUGUGCUGUCUGGGGAAAAGCAUUGCUGGCCUUGUCGAGAUGCACCGACGACUCAGCUCAGCUAAGGACUUAACCAGUACAGGACUUGCUGCAGCGGAGCCUGAGCUGGAUAUGGAAAGCAAAAGCUUUGGACUUAAAGCUUCAUCUGAGUGCUCGGCUCCGCUUGGAUGUUUCACAGGUUCUACAGCCCCCAGCUGAAGUUAUGGUCUCCAACCACCCGCUACCUGUUCUCCCUUCCUGCUUUUCCAUCUCCAUAAAUGGCAGCACAUCUGUCCAUGGGCUUAAGAAACACCAGGACCUUCUUAUAGAGUGUCUUACAGUAUCCUUAAAGACUCCCUCCUCCGGGUGGAUCACGAGGUCAAGAGAUCGAGACCAUCCUGGCCAACAUGGUGAAACCCUGUCUCUACUAAAAAUACAAAAAUUAGCCGGGCGUGGUGGCGGGCACUUGUAAUCCCAGCUACUCGGGAGGCUGAGGCAGGAGAAUGUCGUGAACCCGGGAGGCGGAGCUUGCAGUGAGCCGAGAUCGCACCACUGCACUCCAGCCUGGGCAACAGAGGGAGACUCCGUCUCAAAAUAAAUAAAUAAAUAAAUAAAUAAAUAAAUAAAUAAAUAAAUAAAUAAAUAAAAGACUCCUUCUGCACCCGUUCAAAACCACUCAAUAACCUGACAAUUAUUUGCCUACUAAUUAUUUUCUGAAUUCGUUGCCCUGUCUUCUUUCCGACUUCAGCUUUCUAAAAUGAACCCCUCUGGCCAGGCGCGGUGGCUCACGCCUGUAAUCUCAGGACUCUGGAAGGCCAAGGCGGGCAGAUUGCCUGAGGUCAGAAGUUCGAGACCAGCCUGGCCAACAUGGCAAAACACUGUCUCUGCUGAAAAUACAAAAAUUAGCCGGGUGUGGUGGCGGGCACCUGUAAUCCCAGCUACUCGGGAGGCUGAGGCAGGACAAUCGCUUGAACCAGGGAGGUGGAGGUUGCAGAGAGCUGAGAUCACACCACUGCACUCCAGCCUGGGAAACAGGAGGGAAACUCCAUCUCAAAACAAAACAAAAAACAAAAUGAACCCCUCCUUCCCUCCUAUCUGGGUGACUAGUUUCCCCAGUGGUCUCUUUCUCUCUCUCUUCUUCUGGUCUUGGCUCCCAUCUGUAUCCUCCACAGAGUAAUGGCAGAGCACUAAUGUUAACAACAAACUCUCAUUUUCUCACCCAAUCCCCUUCCAUCGCUCCCACUGACUAAAGACAAUCAAAACUGUUUCACAUGACAUUGACCCGGCCUCUGCCCUCCUCUCCACCCUCACUUUCCUUCAUGCUCCAAAGGGAUGCCUGUGUCUAGUAAUUCCACGCUGCUUGUUGUUGUUGCACAUGAAGGAUCUUCCCACUUUUGUGUCUUUGCCUGUGCAGUCACUCUUUCCUGUCAUUUUCUUUCCUAAGUCCUUCCUCUGAUUUUUUUUUUUACUCAUCCUAUUAAACCGCAAGCAGCCUCUCUUCCAGGAGGCCUCCAGGACACCCUAGGUGAGUUUCCUGUCUCUCUGCUUCCAUAGCAGCUGUUACUAAUCUUCACCAUAGCACCCAACACCCUAUUCAAUCUGCGUUUGGGUCUUUGCUGUACUGUAACCAUUACAAAGUCAGGAACGGAUCUUUCCCAUCUUUGAAUCUUCAGUGCCUGGCAUCAAGCUUCUCUGAGAUGGCUGGGUGCGGUGGCUUAUGCCUGUAAUCCCAGCACUUUGGGAGGCGGAGGUGGGCAGAUCAUUUGAGGCCAGAAGUUUAAGACCAGCCUGGGCAACAUGGAAAAACCCACCCUCUAUUAAAAACGUCAAAAAUUAACUGGGUGUAGUGGUGCGCACCUGCAAUCCCAGCUACUCAGGAGGCUGAGGCUUGAGAAUUGCUUUAACCCAGGAGGGAGAGGUUGCAGUGAGCCGAGAUCAUGCUACUUGCACUCCAGCCUGGGCAUCAGAGUGAGACCCUGUCUCAAAACAAAACAAAACAAAACAAAACAAAACAAAACAAAACAAACAGACUAAAACUUCUCUGAGGAGAGAAGGCCAACAUUUUAACAGGAUUAAAUAUUAGGUAAUAUAAUUUAAGGUUAUUGAUAUGAUGCUAUUACUUCUGGUGUAGUUGUCUGCUAACUAUUUUUCAGUUAAGACAUUUUUUAUUUAAAAGUUCUUAUUAGACAUCUCAUUUUGAAUCAAACUUAAAAGCUAAAAAGAAGAAUACUGAAAAGAAGGCAGUGUCAAGUUUUCAAAAGAAGACACUAUUGCCUGCUCUUUGCAGAACAGAUUUGAGCAGUUUCUGGAUAUUGUUCCUGUGGGCACAUGGGGGUAACAUGCUGCAUAGGAACACAGAGCCGUAGACCACAUUGAAUCCAGGAGGAAACAAUACUCCUGGGUAUUAAGGAAAGAGGGAAAAAUAAACCCCAAGCCUUUAGGUUCUGUGAUCUCCAGUGAUGAACCCACUGCUUGCUAGCCUGAGCUCCCAGCUCUGGGUGGUGCGUUCCACACUCCUUCACUCCACUGGGCACCACUGAGUGUUUGAGCAGACAUAGCCAGAUGUGCUGGUUACACUGCAUUCCAGAGGCAGGAUGGCAUAAAUUAGUUUCUAAUGGCUCAGACGAGUAAGCGUGCCCCACCAAACACCUCACUUACCAGAAGGAAAUGAGUUAUGCAGUAGGGACCACUCUUCAUUAACCAAUAUGAGUUAAAGGGUUGUGUGUUCAGAAGCUAUUCAAUGGCUUUCCAAAUGGCACACAUCUUACUUAACCUUUGCAAACAGAGGGCCAGUCAGAUUUUGAAUCUGAGGAGGAGUUAAGGUUAUCCGUUACAGCCACCCAUGAGCUUUCUUGGAAAAUAUAUUGCUGUCUGUGCAGGGAAGGACUGCAUGACUGGGUAUUUAAUGUGACAACCAUUCGUGCUUUGCAAGGGCAACACAAAAAGGAGAUUUUUAGAAGGUUUGCUGGUCUCUGAUGGUUUCACAAAUAUCAAGAAUGACAUUUCCAUUAAAAAUGGCCCAAAUGCUUUCAUUGCAUUUUAAGAACCUCAGACUUCAGAAAGAAGCCAAGAUGUCUCUCUGUCAGUUCCAGUCGACCAGCAGUCACUGUCAAAGGCAAUAUCUAAAUGGCUACAAGAUGUGUUCUGAUUCCAUACAUGUCAAAAGGCAAUUCCGAAAUGUAACACCAAAAAUUUUAAUAACUUUUUUUCUGCCUGAAAAUGAAUAUAUACAUUUAUAUUCUCCUGUGUAUUAGUAAAUUGUUGAAUUUUUAGGAGUAUUAAUACUGUGUUAUCUUUACCAGAAAUAGCAAUUACUAUAAUGGGCAUUUGCAUAGCAUGUCAUGUUUAAGAGUGUACUUCUUCACGUUCUAAUUUGAUCUUUAUAAAGCGUUUGUGAAAUAGAAAGGAGUCCAUUAUCUUCCAUUUAUUUUACAGAUUGGGAAACUGUAGAUAAGAGAAGUUAAAGUUAAGAAUCUGCACUGAAUUUCUGAUCCUUGAUGAUAGUCUAGUUUUGAGAGUCAUGGAUGUCUGGGUUGGACAAAAACUUGGUCCAACUUUGAUUUUAAAAAAUUUGAAAUAUUAAACUCUCAUACAUCUAUUCUGCUAUGAGUUAGUUAACUAAGAAAGUCACAAUUUGACCUCUAGGACCUAUGACAAGGAGAACACCAUGUGGUUGAUCAAGAGGGCCGAGUGAGCUAUUUUGUAACUUAAAUAUUUCAUCGUAGAUAUUGCUCAUGGAUAAUGAACACAACUAGCCGCUGAGAGAAAGAAGGCUCAGUGGUGUCCUGGUGCAAAAGUCACAGAGGGUUCUAGAGUUUUGUAGUGGGGUCCCAGUGACCUUGGCACUGUGCAAAAGCUGUGGUCAGAGAGAUGACUAGAGAGCCCAGAAGAGAAUUCACAGGUGAGUGGUAUUGUGAAGCAAUGGCAAGCUGGGAUGUGGGCUUGGUUUUGCAAAGCUCUGCUUCUCUCAAUUUCAUGUACCUAGGAAGCGCACUUGGAUCUUGUUAAAAUCCAGAUUUGAAUUCAGCGGAUCUGCAGGGAGGCCUAAGCAUCUGCAUUUUUUUUUUUUUUUUUUUUGGCAGCCUCCUAGGUAACACUAUUGAUGCUGGUCCACAGACCAUCUUUGAAUAGCAAGAUUAUAAAGAACCACACCAGGAACCUAGCUUCCCUCUAACCCCAGUUCAGCCACUUCUACUUCUUGGCUUACAAGUCCCAAGAGCUAGCUUAUGAGAUGGGAAUGGAGUAAUCUCCAUUGUUUUAUUUUACCAGUCAUUUAUCUUCUCCCCAGAGAAAAUACUACUUAGUGUCUGCUGCUCGAUGCCAUUCCAAUCCAUUGCCGAGAAAGAGAAAUAUAACUCGUAGACACAGAGACUGUGUAUCCACAAAUGAAAACAUGUUUCUAAAAUCCGAAAAGAGCAGUCAAGAUAUACAGGUAUUUCUGAGAGAUAAAGCUUCAUCCCUCAUGCAAACAGGUGACCAAAAUAUUUCCUUUUUUUUUUUCAGUCAGAAAAACAGUAGAAUAGACCUGUGCCUUUGCAAGUAGGAGAGCCCCUGCCUCUACUAUGCUCCCCUCAAAUCCAACUCCUAGUUCAACACAGGCUUUUACUCAAAAUGGCUCUGUUUACAAGUGGCAAAGCUGAGUCACAGUGAACUCUGUGGCCACACGACGCAUCCAUCUAUGCAUGUGGAUAUUCUAAUGUAUUCUGUAAUGAAGAAGAUCUUGUUUUAAGAUCUUCUGAGAUGUUCUUCCCUCAUUAAUAUGUAGAGAUUUUUAUUAUUCACAGAUUGCAUAUUUGCGAAUUCACCUACUCACUGAAAUUUAUUUGUAACCCUCCAAACGAAUACUCACUGUUGCUUUUUCAGCAGUUUGCAAACAAAUGCAGAACAACCAAAAAAUCUAAAGUUGCCCAUCUGCCUUCCCAGGUGAGGUUGAAUAAGGCACGAGGCUGUACCUGCGUCUCAGUUCUCAUACUGUAAACAAGUCUCCUUCUCGUGGUCUAUUUUUCAUGGUUUUGUGCCUUUUGUUAGUGAUUUUACUGUUUAAAAUGGCCCCCAAGAGUAACGUUGGAAUCUUAUCUAGUGCCUCUAAGUGCAAGAAGGCUGUGGUGUGCCUUUUGGAGAAAAAUCUGUGUGUUAUAUAAGCUUUCUUCAGGCAUGAGUUUUGGUGCUGUGGGCCAUGAGUUCAAUGUUAAUGCAUCGAUAUGUAUAUUAAACGGCUUUAAACAAGAACAUAUGCAAAACAAGGUCACGUAUUGAUUAGUUGAUGAAAACGUUGUAAUCAGACACUCAUGGGCAGCUAGCCCUGUAUUUCUCUUAGCAGCAAGCGUUCAGUAUUUGCUAAUUCAGUGUUUGCAGUGACUUCAUAGAAUAUAACUACUG
ensembl:lncRNA CELF2-DT CELF2 divergent transript